CACAACUUCUUCAGCUUCCCCAAACAGAAGCCUUGAUGGAAAUUCUACUCAGCUAAAUCAGGAUCCAUGACACAGAAAGCUUUGCACAGCAGCAAGAUGCAAGACAAAUACAAGUGAUCAUUUUGGUUCGUCUGAAUUUAUUUUGCUCGAACAAUUUCUGAAAUUGCUUUUGUGGAUUUAUAUUUCAUUUUAAUUGAGUCAAAAUGAGCAGUGUCAGUGUUAAUUAUGAGGAAUGUCAAGGCCAGUCCCUCGGAAGAUGUGAGUAGCAGUGUCCAGGAGCAGCACCGGGUGCUGUUGAAGAGUGAGUCACAUCAAUUUGAGAACUACUGGGAGAUACCACAGAGCACGAAUUCUGGAUUUUGGAGCAAGAUUGUAAUCAAAGUUCUUUAUUUGACUGGCUUUCUGAUCUUGUGGAUGUUACUUAACUUGUGCAAGCUAUUUUUUAUA